AUUGAACGCUGGCGGCAGGCCUAACACAUGCAAGUCGAGCGGAUGAAGGGAGCUUGCUCCUGGAUUCAGCGGCGGACGGGUGAGUAAUGCCUAGGAAUCUGCCUGGUAGUGGGGGAUAACGUCCGGAAACGGGCGCUAAUACCGCAUACGUCCUGAGGGAGAAAGUGGGGGAUCUUCGGACCUCACGCUAUCAGAUGAGCCUAGGUCGGAUUAGCUAGUUGGUGGGGUAAAGGCCUACCAAGGCGACGAUCCGUAACUGGUCUGAGAGGAUGAUCAGUCACACUGGAACUGAGACACGGUCCAGACUCCUACGGGAGGCAGCAGUGGGGAAUAUUGGACAAUGGGCGAAAGCCUGAUCCAGCCAUGCCGCGUGUGUGAAGAAGGUCUUCGGAUUGUAAAGCACUUUAAGUUGGGAGGAAGGGCAGUAAGUUAAUACCUUGCUGUUUUGACGUUACCACAGAAUAAGCACCGCUAAUC
rnacentral:rRNA from 1 species